rnacentral:rRNA from 1 species
AACGCGAAGAACCUUACCAACCCUUGCCAUGGGAAGUUUGGGCUCGAGAGAUUGGGUCGUUCAGUUCGGCUGGCGUCCACACAGGGGCUGCAUGGCUGUCGUCAGCUCGUGUCGUGAGAUGUUGGGUUAAGUCCCGCAACGAGCCCAACCCUCGCCUUUAGUUGCCAUCAUUCAGUUGGGCACUCUAAAGGAACCCCCGGUGACAAGCCGGAGGAAGGGGGGGAUGACGUCAAGUCCUCAUGGCCCUUACGGGUUGGGCUACACACGUGCUACAAUGGUGGUGACAGUGGGUUGCAAGGCAGCGAUGCCAAGCUAAUCCCCAAAAGCCACCUCAGUUCGAAUUGUUCUCUGCAACUCGAGAGCAUGAAGGCGGAAUCGCUAGUAAUCGCGAAUCACCAUGCCGCGGUGAAUACGUUCCCGGGUCUUGUACACACCG